rnacentral:rRNA from 1 species
AACGAACGUUGGCGGCGUGGAUGAGGCAUGCAAGUCGAACGUGAAAGCCUUCGGGUGAGUAGCGUGGCGGACGGGCGAGUAACACGUAACCAAGCUGCCUGUCAGACGGGGAUAACUCCGGGAACCGGAGCUAAGACCCGAUGGUCUUGCGGGAUCGCAUGUUCCUGCAAGUAAAUGGACGGGACCCUCCGGGCCGUCUGCUGACAGAGGUGGUUGCGGCCCAUCAGCUAGUUGGUAGGGUAAUGGCCUACCAAGGCAACGACGGGUAGCCGGCCUAAGAGGGUGGUCGGCCGCACUGGGACUGAGACACUGCCCAGACUCCUACGGGAGGCUGCAGUCGAGAAUCUUCCGCAAUGGGCGAAAGCCUGACGGAGCGACGCCGCGUGGAGGACGAAGGCCUUCGGUUGUAACUCCUGUCACGAGUUAAGAAGGUUCGCGGACGAACAGUCUGCGGACUUGACGUAAGCUCGAGAGGAAGCACUGGCUAACCUCUGU